rnacentral:tRNA from 1 species
UCUAAUAUGGCAGAUAAGUGCAAUGGAUUUAAGCUCCAUACAUAAAGAUUCUUCUUUUUUUAGAA